CCGCCCUUAGCUCAGUUGGUAGAGCAGCUCCCUUUUAAGGAGAAGGUCGCAGGUUCGAUCCCUGCAGGGCGGA
rnacentral:tRNA from 1 species